rnacentral:lncRNA from 1 species
CCGGGGUGAGAUCAAGAUAUGCAAAAUACACACGGAUCUGAACAUUUCUGAUCCGUUGACAAAACCACUUCCGCAGGCUAAGCAUGAUGCGCAUGUAAGAGCUAUGGGUAUUAGGUACCUUCUAGAUUGACUCUAGUGCAAGUGGGAGACUGUUGGAGGUAUGCCCUAGAGGCAAUCAUAGAGAUGAUGAUAUUCCAUUUGUAUCCAUGAUUUAUGUUGUGUUCCUUGAAUAUCCAUUAAAGGCUACUUAAAUUGAUUUGCAAUUAUGUCAAUUGUGUGUGAAACUCUUUACUUGUAUGAUUAUUCUAAAGUUGUCCCUAGUCGGAGUUCAUGUGAGGACACACAUGAAUAUUAGACUAGCACAUGUAUUAGCUGAUGACUAUGUUUCACAAGUCAUGGACAUGGAGAUGUUGAACUAAUAAUGUGGGCACAUGUGGAGACAUG